rnacentral:lncRNA from 1 species
AUACGCACAAUAAACACAGGUCUUAUUAUCAUAAUUUUAUUACAUACUAGCAAGCAACGUAGGUCUUACAUAGCCAUCUCGGACUGCUGAGUGCUGACUACUGGACAGCUAAACUCAGCUUUUAUUUCCAUAACUUUAUUACAUAAUACAGCAGCAAGCAGCAGAGAUUUCACGUACAUAGCCUAAUAGGGAUACAGUCCACUGACUUCUGGACAGAUGAAUAGUUUCAUGAUUACUUACCCAAGUGCACGGUUAUCUAGGCACGACCACCAGCUUUGCUGCCAAUAGUGAAGUUUCCACUGUUGUUACUGUUGUUGCUCCCAACUGUGUUGUUGUUGCUCCCACUUAUGGUGUUGUUGCUCCCAGUUGUGUUGUUCCCAGCAUUGAUUGUGUUGCCGCCACCUGUGUUGCCACCAGUAUUCACUGUGUUGCCACCGAUAUUGCCGCCACCUAUGUUGCCGCCACCGAUGUUGCCACCGGUAUUGCCGCCACCUAUGUUGCCACCGGUAUUCAUUUUUGCCACCUUGCUCGUAAUGGUCUCGAGUGCUUGCUGGUCUCUGUCCCGCUUCCACCGAAGAAGGUGAACAGGGCUAUUUUUAGGCCC